AUUUUCAGGUUAGGUCUUAUUUUCAGGGAAACAGUAUUAGCGUAGAUGGGGACACAUUUCCAGAUAAUUUUUUUUAAAAAAAAAUAAAGCUAAGGGUAGUUCUGUGAGACCAAUGGGACAGUAAACAUUUUCUCCUGUGCCAUCAAACAAAGGCUAUUAAAUGGUUGAGUGUUUCUGAAAUAGUUCAAGGCAUCUCAUAAAGAUUGCAUCCAGAGUGGGCGAACUGUGUCUUUUGCUGGACUACAGCUUCCAUAAGAAAGCACAAAAUACUACCUAGAAUUGCAAAAUAGCCUUCAACACAAUCUGAAGUUUAAGCGUACAGGUGAUAUUUUGAUGGCUAUUAAACGCAGGUAUGACAAAGAAAAUAACAGGCAGACUUAUUAACAUUUCUCUUUGUAUCUGUAUCUCCUUACCACAUGUUUUGCUACUUCCCCUGUCUCAUUUCUGAAGCAAUUGUUUUAGAACAACAUUUUCUUACUUGUUUUGCUGGCAAUAAAAAAAGAAAGAAAGAAAGAAAGAAAGAAAAUAAAAAUUGAGGCAGGCUUGGCAAAGAACUGGAAAGGAGACGUUUUGAGGAGAAUGUAAAAAAAUAGGCAGAAAAUAAUGGUAAAUGAAGAGAACAGCAAUUGUAGAAAAAGAAGGUAAACAUAGAACUUAAAAAGAACUGCAAAGUAAACUAUACAGCUUUUUGCUUUUUUUGCUGGAACAUUAUAACUACACAGAUAACAAUUGAACUCACAUAUCUGAUCCAGUUAUCCAGAAAGGAGAGUUUAGAAAAGGGAACCCAAAUGUAUCUUGUCCUCUCAAAUGCCCAUGAAGAAUUAAGGGUGUUGAAGAAUUUAAUCUGGUUUGCGUUUUAAAUUGAACUGACCCCAUUCAUACCUCUAGAGACACAAGGAAGAAUACCACUGCAGGGGGGUCUCCAGAGUUUGUGAAACAGUUCUCAGCUCAAAAUGUACUUCAGAAGGCACAAAAACAAAGCAAAGCAGAAAGAAAACAAAGCCAAACCCCCAAGUCUUGUUGCCUUUGUUAAAAUUAACAUAUUUAUUUCACUGUAGUCUUUUGUGGGUCACAAUCGACUCCCUCAAAUCUUAAGGCCAUUCCAUAACGUCUUCACCAUGACCUAAAGUGAGGCAAAUGGCUGAAGCAUAUAUCAUGAAAGAUCAGAAAACGGAUGAUUUGUGUUUGUAGUCAUUUUAUCGCUAGGUCUGAAGACAGAUUCUUGUGGGAUUUUCUACCUCACGUACCAAAAUAAGGUGGCUGGCUUUAGGCUCACUGCAGCUGGAAUGAGGGGUGAGCAAGGGAGAUCCCUUAUUCUAUUCUGCCUUGA
rnacentral:lncRNA from 1 species